GACAGAGGGUGCAAGCGUUGUUCGGAAUUACUGGGCGUAAAGCGCGCGUAGGCGGCUUGUUAAGUCGGGUGUGAAAUCCCACAGCCUAACUGUGGAAGUGCAUUCGAUACUGGCGAGCUUGAGUCCUGGAGAGGGUGGUGGAAUUCCCAGUGUAGAGGUGAAAUUCGUAGAUAUUGGGAGGAACACCGGUGGCGAAGGCGACCACCUGGACAGAGACUGACGCUGAGGUGCGAAAGCGUGGGGAG
rnacentral:rRNA from 1 species